UGUUUCAGGGAAAUUCUCCAGCAUUAGAGAUCAAGUUAUUGAUCUUUCUGCUGCAUUGCAGGUGGGGAUCAAUAUCUUCAGAAUUGGCCAGGCAAAAUAUAUUUGCUUAUCAUUCAGCUGCUACAGAUAACUGCAGGUGCUGGGAUGAGGGUACUUGGUGAAUCCUAUAGGUGAGCAGGGGUGUGAGAUCGUGCUCUGAGCACUGUGUGUGCGGCCUCCUGGUUGUGUGGCAUGUGGUGAGUGUGCAGUAAACAAUGAAUGGGUGAAGUUAUUAAGUCAUCAAAUAUGUGUGCCAGUGUGUCUGUUAUUAUAGAUUCUUUUGGCUCUAACAAAGUGGCUUAAACAACAGGCACAUUUGAUAUUAUUUUCUUCUCAUAACAGGUGCAAUGGGCAGGUCCAGGGUUGGUUGAGCACCAGGGCAGUGUUGAGACUGGUCCAACUUCUCUGGGCCUUCUCUUUUUGCUUGUCAGAGAGCGACCUCGGCUGCAAGUAUUAUGUUCUUACACGGACGCCCAAGAGCAGAAAGGAAAAAGGGCAGGGAUGUUCUCAGAGGCUCCCAGUAGGCCUCACUUGUGUCUCAGUGCCUACACUUGGGCAUACACUUAUGCUUCCCUUGCCAGCAAGGCUGGGAAAGGAGUCAUUAGCAUUUUUACCCUGUAUCAGGGCAGGUGGGUUUCACUGGCAAGGAGGAAGAGGAAGGGGACUGGCCACUAGGUCAACACCCACAGUGGGGCUGGGGAUACAGGGAUGAAAGAGAGAUGAGGCCCCUGCCUUCGGGGAGUGUCUAGUGACAGUGACAGAGGGAUGAGAGAAGUAUGAGAUGUUGCUCACCCUCAAGAAGAUUGUAACCUAGGGACCUUAAGCAUAUAUGUAUGUAUCUAUCCCGAGCCAGGAGAAAGGUGGGGCCAAAGCUCUGUAUGAAGGCCAGGGGGAUGAGGGAUCCUUUGCAGCUGGGAGCUCUGCGCAGGAGGAGAGGGAGCGUUUGAGCUAGGAAGAGAGGUGAUUUCACAGGCAGAAAGCAUAGGGAGAUGGAGUGGCUGCGGGGGCUUCAGGAGGCUGUUGGGGAGCCCAGGCAGGAGGUGGCAAGUGAGCGUGCAAUUCUCAGAGAGUGGCUGGGUAAGGCGUGGGGAUCCAGCAGGUCUGGGGCAGCUGCUGCUGAGUCUGGGCUGUUUCCAGUGCUAGUUGGUUGAGCAUUUGCAAAUUUUAAUCUUUCCCUGGGUAUUGGAUGGUGUUCUGGCAAGUUCUCUAGGAGCUCCAGGGGUGUUUAGACCCUGGAAGUGUAAGAACUGACUGUGAUUUUUUUUUCCUCUUGUUUGAAAAAGUCCUAAGUGUACGGGAAGUGGCUAUGGAGACCUCUCACUCUGUCCCUCCCAUCUGCUUGUGCUCUGCAGGUAUGGAUUUAACAGUCACGGGCUUUCAGUGGUGGAACACAGGUUACGGGCCAGACAGCAGAAGCAGGCCAAGCUCACGGAAGUUGGGCAUCGAUGGGCUGAUUGUUACGAACACCACUGUGAGUCGUCCUGCUGGCCUCCAGGGUGCCCUGCGCUCUGAAACAGGAGGGCUGAGUGGGAAGCCCCUCCGGGAUUUAUCAACUGAAACCAUUCGGGAGAUGUAUGCACUCACCCAAGGCAAGUUCCCAUAAUUGGGGUUGGUGGUGUGAGCAGCGGGCAGGAUGCGCUGGAGAAGAUCCGGGCAGGGGCCUCCCUGGUGCAGCUGUACACGGCCCUCACCUUCUGGGGGCCACCCGUUGUGGGCAAAGUCAAGCGGGAACUGGAGGCCCUUCUGAAAGAGCAGGGCUUUUGCAGAGUCACAGAUGCCAUUGGAGCAGAUCAUCGGAGGUGAGGACAGCGUCUGUCGGGAAGCCUGAUCUGGAACCUUCCCAAGGACUCAGGCAAGCCUUUGUGGCUGGAUCAUGAGAGGAGGGACUCCAUCUUGAGCCAUGUCCCCCAGCCAUGGCAUGGCUGCACUCUAAACGCCAAUCGGGGGGUCACCAGGAUCAACCGCAGGCUUUCUUCAGUCCCUUGGCCAGACCAUAAACUGCAUUUGUGAUUCUUUGUGGAUUCAAACCCUAGGAUCCAUCAGUCUUGCAAGGACAUUGAAUAUUAGGAGGAAAAAGUCAUGGAAAAGAUAAAGCCAUUUAGAACCUGGGUUUCAA
rnacentral:sRNA from 1 species